rnacentral:rRNA from 1 species
UACAGAGGUCCCAAGCGUUGUUCGGAUUCACUGGGCGUAAAGGGUGCGUAGGUGGUGAGGUAAGUCGGAUGUGAAAGCUCGGAGCUCAACUCCGAAAUGGCAUUGGAAACUACCUUGCUAGAGGGUUGGAGGGGGGACUGGAAUACUUGGUGUAGCAGUGAAAUGCGUAGAUAUCAAGUGGAGCACCAGUGGCGAAGGCGAGUCCCUGGACAACUCCUGACACUGAGGCACGAAAGCUAGGGGAGCAAACAGG